UGCGUAGGGGGCGAGCGUUGUCCGGAGUUACUGGGCGUAAAGCGCACGCAGGCGGUCUGCUAAGUUUGGAGUGACAGUUGGUGGUACUUACGCGCAAAGUGCUUCGAAAACUGACAGACUUGAGGGCUUCAGAGGGACACGGAAUUCCGGGUGGAGUGGUGAAAUGCGUAGAGAUCCGGAGGAACACCAAAGGCGAAGGCAGUGUCCUGGGGAGUACCUGACGCUCGAGGUGCGAAAGCCAGGGGAGCGAACGGG
rnacentral:rRNA from 1 species